AAAUUGAAGAGUUUGAUCAUGGCUCAGAUUGAACGCUGGCGGCAGGCCUAACACAUGCAAGUCGAACGGUAACAGGAAGCAGCUUGCUGCUUUGCUGACGAGUGGCGGACGGGUGAGUAAUGUCUGGGAAACUGCCUGAUGGAGGGGGAUAACUACUGGAAACGGUGGCUAAUACCGCAUAACGUCGCAAGACCAAAGAGGGGGACCUUCGGGCCUCUUGCACAUCAGAUGUGCCCAGAUGGGAUUAGCUUGUUGGUGAGGUAACGGCUCACCAAGGCGACGAUCCCUAGCUGGUCUGAGAGGAUGACCAGCCACACUGGAACUGAGACACGGUCCAGACUCCUACGGGAGGCAGCAGUGGGGAAUAUUGCACAAUGGGCGCAAGCCUGAUGCAGCCAUGCCGCGUGUAUGAAGAAGGCCUUCGGGUUGUAAAGUACUUUCAGCGGGGAGGAAGGUGUUG
rnacentral:rRNA from 1 species